GCCAGCAGCCAUAUCACUCUGCAAAUCAUAAGUGAGUUGCAGCUAAGCAGGUGUGAGCCUGGUCAGAACAUGGAUGAGAGAUCUCCUGUGAAAAACUAAGGUUGCUUCUGGAA
rnacentral:rRNA from 1 species